rnacentral:rRNA from 1 species
CGGACGGGUGAGUAAUGUCUGGGAAACUGCCCGAUGGAGGGGAUAACAUGGAACGGUAGCUAAUACCGCAUAACGUCGCAAGACCAAAGAGGGGGACCUUCGGGCCUCUUGCCAUCGGAUGUGCCCAGAUGGGAUUAGCUAGUAGGUGGGGUAACGGCUCACCUAGGCGACGAUCCCUAGCUGGUCUGAGAGGAUGAUCAGCCACACUGGGACUGAGACACGGCCCAG